GAUGAACGCUGGCGGCGUGCCUAAUACAUGCAAGUCGAGCGAACAGACGAGGAGCUUGCUCCUCUGACGUUAGCGGCGGACGGGUGAGUAACACGUGGAUAACCUACCUAUAAGACUGGGAUAACUUCGGGAAACCGGAGCUAAUACCGGAUAAUAUAUUGAACCGCAUGGUUCAAUAGUGAAAGACGGUUUUGCUGUCACUUAUAGAUGGAUCCGCGCCGCAUUAGCUAGUUGGUAAGGUAACGGCUUACCAAGGCAACGAUGCGUAGCCGACCUGAGAGGGUGAUCGGCCCCACUGGAACUGCGACACGGUCCAGACUCCUACGGGAGGCAGCAGUAGGGAAUCUUCCGCAAUGGGCGAAAGCUUGACGGAGCAACGCCGCGUGAGUGAUGAAGGUCUUCGGAUCGUAAAACUCUGUUAUUAGGGAAGAACAAAUGUGUAAGUAACUAUGCACGUCUUGACGGUACCUAAUCAGAAAGCCACGGCUAACUACGUG
rnacentral:rRNA from 1 species